GGUUUUUUUUUUUUUUUUUUUUUUUGUUGGUAUAAAUUAUCAUGUGGAUUUUAGGUAUUUCGAAAUUGUCUUUCGAUUUUCAAGGCAUGUGGUGUUUCCUGAAUUUGUGCAGGUGUUUUCUAUGGCUCAAGGGAACAACAAUUGGAUUUUGGGUUAAUUGAUUUCUAGCAAUAGAGAAGCAGCAGUGUCAAUCAAGUUGAAUGACUCGCCACAAUUAGAGAAGCAUCUUUUUUUUCCUCGUGUGGAGACCCGUACCUUGCCCACCUCUUCAAUGACUUAAAGAUGAACUAUUAUCUCAACAUAGAAGCACCAUAAGAGUUUAGAUUUACUUUGGGAUAUUGAAAAUGUUUACUAAUGAUAUAGGAUUGUAAUGAGUUUUUGGAAUUUAUUAUAUUGGUCUUUUAUUAAUGAUAAUAUAUAUUAUUUUUGGGACAA